GGCUUCAUGAGUAAGAUAAGUGUAGAUCGCUACUGCUGCUGCUGCGAUUGCUGUUGCUGUGAUGGCACAGGCGUUCCCUUCAUUCUCCUUAAGUCUGCCGAAUGUUGACAGAUCAGCGAAGACUACCGCGGUAAGACUACCGCGGUGAGGAAGAUGAGGAUUGACCAUGGAGCCUCUUAGGAAUGCAACGGCGUUGGUCGCUGGCCGAAGGGUGAAGCUUCACUUUUCUCAGCGACGUUGGUCAUGGUUGCGAUUACGACGG
rnacentral:lncRNA from 1 species